GUCAGAAAAUUGGAUUGAUAUGAUGAUCAUCUGUGAGGUACUACAGUUAAUAGUAUGUUAGAGUUCUAGUGGCA
ensembl:snoRNA SNORD28 Small nucleolar RNA SNORD28